rnacentral:misc_RNA from 1 species
UACGAAGGGGGCGAGCGUUGUUCGGAAUUACUGGGCGUAAAGGGCGCGUAGGCGGCCGGCUCAGUCAGGAGUGAAAGCCCCGGGCUCAACCUGGGAACGGCUCUUGAUACUGGUCGGCUUGAGUUCCGGAGAGGAUGGUGGAAUUCCCAGUGUAGAGGUGAAAUUCGUAGAUAUUGGGAAGAACACCGGUGGCGAAGGCGGCCAUCUGGACGGACACUGACGCUGAGGCGCGACAGCGUGGGGAGCAAACAGG